GCUGCUUCUUUCCUCGCAGAUGGAUGAGCUCUCUCACUGUUGCUGCCCACCGCUGCCUCUGCUCCGAGCACGGCAUGGAUGCGGGACCGGUGGGAAGGGAGGUGCCACUGGGAAGAGCAGGAUCUGGCCGUGCCGGGAUGCAGGAGCUGCUGUCCAGAAUUCCUAUGCAGACAAAUCUCCUCCCUGUGGAUCACACUCUUGAAAGCCUGGCAUAGUGCAGAUGGUCUAUGAAGAGCACACUGCAGGACUUUUGACCCUGGCAGAUCUGCAGAGAAGAAGACCAUUCCCCACUUUCUGUGUCAGAAGUGGCUCCAGAUGACCAAUCAAUGUGCAGAAACCAUGUGAGGAAUACAAUUCUUGGCAAAUGAAGUCCAUCAACUCAACCGGGGACUAAUUAUGCAAUUGCUGCCUCUGGAAGUAAAUGACCAGUGCAUGAUUUAGGAAGGAUCCCACAGAUGCUGCAGCCUGGUGUGGUAGAUCACCCACCCACCUGUUCUCAAGCCAGAAAGGAGCUCAAACCUGGACAGUCAGAGGGAUGAGGAUGGUCACCCUUGCUGGCUGCCACAGAAGAUCCUCCUGAUGUCCUAAUGAGUUACUUAAUAUUAUAGACUUCUAUCACCCCCAGUGUUUUUACCUGCACUAUUUUUGAUGCACGUUGCAUUUAGAAAUAUGCUAGGAUCUUUUAUUUGUUAGAGAUGCAAUAGUUGUUAAAUUGUAUUUGUUAUUGACCUUAGCAGCAAUAAACUGUAGCAAGAGUAGUCUGUUGUAAACACCGCUAAAUCAUAAUCAGCUGGCAUAAUGCUGGUAUUUCUGACCAUUUGUACCACACCCUGUAAAGUGCACUUGAUAAUAGUACAUAAAAGUGUAAGAGUACUCUAUACAGUUUUGGAAUGGACUGGAUUUAAAGACAUAUUCAACCAAUUUAUCAUUUAACUUACAGCUUCACAAAAGCUAUUAAACAACACAGUGAGCCUGGAGGCCACACAUAUGCUACAGCCCUGGAAAUGUAAAGAAGUUCAUUUGAAUCCCUUAAUAAUGACCUUGACCUAUUGAACAAGGUGUACUUAUUGUCAACAAUUCAUCUCACUCUUGACCCUGGCAAAAUGCCUAACCUUUGAAUACUUCUGGUUGGGGGAGGAAGGGCUUGGGGUGUUUUUUUCUUUCCCCUGGUGAAAUGGGCCAAUUUUUUUCCCUGUUUAGCAAAAUCUGGAACACAGAUCAUUAGAAUGCUUUUGGCAGCUAAUUUGAACAUCAGUGACUCAACUUUGAGAAGGAAGCCUUUUUCUGCCCUAAAGAAUCUCAGAGAGUUUUCAGACUACAGUAAUUGAAAAAUCCCUAAACACUCACUCACAGAGGAGAUACACAUUACUGCAGGAACAGUCUACAAAUUGUAAAGUAUUCAAUUUACAUUCUCAGUACCUCAGGGCAGUUGUGAAGAAUUUAUAUCUUCAGAAACCUUUGAACUAACAAAAGAUAACAUUUCACAGCAAAGUCUACUUGCAUAAAAGUUUUUUAACUCCCUUCAUUCUUAUUCUGAAGGAAG